rnacentral:rRNA from 1 species
UUUGGUUAGUUAGAACGGGCGCACGGUGGAUGCCUUACACUAGGAGUCGAUGAAAAAGGACGGGACUAACCGCCGAUAUGCUUCGGGAGCUGUAAGUAGCUUUGAUCCGAAGAUUUCCGAAUGGGGAAACCACCAUCCGUAUGGUAUGGUAUCCUUACUGAAUACAUGGGGGUAAGGAAGAACAUGACCCAGGAACUGAAACAUCAAUACCUGGAGGAAAGAAAGCAAAUGCGAUUUCCUGAGUAGCGGCAGCGAAACGGAAAUAGCCCAAACCAAGAGGCUUGCCUCUUGGGGUUGUAGGACAUUUCUAUACGGAGUUACAAAGGAACGAGGUAGACGAGCGACCUGGAAAGGUCGUCGUAGAGGGUAACACCCCGUAGUCGAAACUCGUUCUCUCUUGAAUGUAUCCUGAGUACGGCGGAACACGUGAAAUUCCGUCGGAAUUGGGAGGACCAUCUCCCAGGCUAAAUACUCCUAGUCGAUCGAUAGUGAACCAGUACGUGAGGAAAGGGUGAAAAGCACACCGAAGGGGAGUGAAAGAGAUCCUGAAACGUUGCCUACAAUAGUCAGAGCCGUUAACGGGUGAUGGCCGUGCCUUUUGUAGACGAACCGGCGAGUUACGAUCCCGUGCGAGGUUAAGCUGAAGCGCGGAGCCGCAGCGGAACGCGAGUCUGAAUAGGGCGUUAGUAGUGGUCGCAGACUCCGAAACCCAGGUGAUCUCCCAUGUCCAGGGUGAAGUUCAGGUAACACUGAAUGGAGGCCCGAACCCACGCACGUUGGAAAAGUGCGGGGAUGAGGUGUGGGUAGCGGAGAAAUUCCAAUCGAACCUGGAGAUAGCUGGUUCUCCCCGAAAUAGCUAGGGUACCUUAAGUGAAGAGUCUUGGAGGUCAGAGCACUGAUUGGACUAGGGGUCCUCAUUCGGAUUACCGAAUUCAGUCAAAAACUCCGAAUGCCAAUGCCUUAAUCCCUUAGGAGUCAGACUGCGAGUGGAUAAGAUCCGUAGUCAAAAGGGAAAACAGCCCAGGACCGCCAGCUAAGGUCCCCAAAGUGUGUAUUAAGUGGAAAAGGAUGUGGGAGUUGAUUAGACAACUAGGAUGUUGGCUUAGAAACAGCCACCAUUUGAAAGGUGGCGUAAAUAGCUCCCACUAGUCGAGUGACUCUGGCGCCGAAAUGUAGCGGGGCUAAAUACACCACCGAAGCUGCGGAUUGAUACCAAUGGUACAGUGGUAGGGGAGCGUUCUAAGGACAAGUGAAAGUCAGACCGUAAGGACUGUGGCUGCUAAGUGAGAAUGCCGGUAUGGAGUAGCGAAAGCCGGGUGAAAUCCGUCCACCGACUGCCUAAGGUUCUGAGAAGGUCUCGUCCGCUCAGGGUUAAGUCAGGACCUAAGCCGAGGCCGACAGGCGUAGGCGAUGGCCAACAGGUUUGAUAUUCCUGUACCACCUCUUUACGUUUGAGCAAUGGAGGAGCAGAAGGUAGAAGAGCGUGCGAUUGGUUGUGCACGUCCAGCGUUAGGCUGAUAAGUAAGGCAAAUCCGCUUACAUAAAGGCGAGCUGUGAUGGGGAAGCUCCUUAUGGACGAAGUCUUGGAUUCCCCGCUGCCAAGAAAGCUUCUAGCGAGAUAAAAGAGGUCUGUACGCAACCGACACAGGUAGGGCGAGGAAGAAUCCUAAGGUGUUGCGAGAGAACUCUGGUAAGGAAACUCGGCAAAAUGACCCCGUAACUUCGGGAAGAAGGGGUGCUUCUUAACGGAACGCCGCAGUGAAUAGGCCCCAAGCGACUGUUUAGCCAAAAACACAGCUCUCUGCGAAGCCGGUAAGGCGAAGUAUAGGGGUGACACUGCCCGGUGCUGAAGGUUAGGAGAGGGGUUAGCGUAAAGCGAAGCUCUGAACUGAGCCCCCAGUAACGGCGGC